rnacentral:rRNA from 1 species
UGGAUGAGUGGCGAACGGGUGAGUAACACGUGAGUAACCUGCCCCCUUCUUUGGGAUAACGCCCGGAAACGGGUGCUAAUACUGGAUAUUCACUGGCCUUCGCAUGGGGGUUGGUGGAAAGGUUUGUUCUGUGGGGGAUGGGCUCGCGGCCUAUCAGCUUGUUGGUGGGGUGAUGGCCUACCAAGGCUUUGACGGGUAGCCGGCCUGAGAGGGUGACCGGUCACAUUGGGACUGAGAUACGGCCCAG